ACCUUUCUCGUACCCGUCACCCAAUCGCGAAUUGCCUUCACGGGAAUCGAAGGAAUCGGGCGGCGUUACUCCACCUCCUCCGAACUCGUCAACAACUCGUCAAUGCUCGCAACGCACGCCUCCUUCUUUCCCUUUCUUAAAUCUCGCCCCCGGCGCCGCAACCCCGCUAAAAGGCAACCCUUUCGUCGUCCCCUUCCCCUCCCCGUCGCUGACCUCCCUGCAUUCUCGGUCUCGCCGGCAGCUCGCUUCCCCCCUACUCCGCUUCUUCCAUGGAAAGCCCGCCCAAGGUGGCGUACUGCGUGUUUGCGCUCCCCCCAGACGACCUGGCACCGAGGCUGAGGAGCCUGAUGGACGGGCUACGUGCGGAGUUCGGCGGGCCGCAGUUCGUGCCCCACAUCACGGUCGUCGGGCCUGUUGGCCUGAAGGAGGACGAUGCCGUGAGAGAGUUCAGGGCCGCUUGCGAUGGGCUCCGGGCGUACCCCGCCACCGUCGAUCGCGUGGCCACGGGGACUUUCUUCUACCAGUGCGUGUACCUGCUCCUCCGUCCCACGGCUGAGGUAACUUCUCGCGUGUUUUCAGUCCCUCGACACAUUCUUGAUUGACGUACUUCUCUUGUAGAACUUUCAUGUUGGAGGGUUAUGGGGUUGUAGUAUCGGUUAUAUGUAUGUAUCGUGUUCAUCAUCCAAGUUCUGAGUCUAGUAAGAAUAGAAGAAUCUGCUUCAGCAGAUUCAUAGUUCUUGCAAUCUCAAAGUUGUACAAGAAGUAACCGGGUAGGUUUCGUUUCAACUCAUCACUCAUAAGGUUCCUGAAAAAUUCAAAUUCCUAUGAAUUAACUUUGACUCACGAAAGCUGUACCCAUCAUCAGUUGAUCUAGAGCAAUAUCUUGCACGGUAAAAAAGUUGGCUAAUGGCUUUUAAUAGGUCCGAUUCCCUUAAAAGGCACAAACUUCAGUUCGCAAAAUUGGAGAACACGGUGUCAUUAUAUUGAAUGAAAUGUUUGAGAAACCGGAACAUUUUAUCCUUCCUUUUAUUUAGUGAAAUAGGUGAUUCACUCAUUUUCUUCUUCCAGGUUGUCGAAGCCAGUGAUCGCUGCUGUGCUUUUCUAGGUUACAAGAGCAAUACGCGUAAGUUCCGGAUGUUGCUACUUUUGUUCUGGUCAAUCCAUGGGUUCUCUGAUUGUACAUGCUGAGAUGGUUUCUUNNNNNNNNNNNNNNNNNNNNNNNNNNNNNNNNNNNNNNNNNNNNNNNNNNNNNNNNNNNNNNNNNNNNNNNNNNNNNNNNNNNNNNNNNNNNNNNNNNNNCAAUAGUUUAUGGCAUCUAGUAGGAGUUUGCAUGAGAUACCAUUGUCAAUUGUCAAGUGAAUUGUAGCUAAGUCUACAUGCAAAUGUCCGUUGCUGCUUUGCAAGCAGUUUGAAGUAUUACUGUCUUUGUUGAACUCAAUCAAGUCUACAGGAUAGUGGAAAAUGGGCAUCUUUUGUCUUCAAUUUCAAGUGGGGGACAGUUCACCUAUAGAACUGAGUCAUGCUUUUAAAGGAAAAGAUAACAAAAGGAGAAACAAAAAAUUACAGGAGGAACAACAAAUGAGCUAAGUCAACACUAUUGAAUUGGUGUCCCUAAGUUUGUGUUUUCUGCAAAUGACAUGGCUUUGAUAGAAUUGAGGGACUAACUCCAAAGCUCAAAGUACGGGACAUACUGGAAGAUGAAAGUUUCAUCUAUAUAGCAUGAAGAAGAAACUGGACUGUAUAUUUGGGAGGAAGAGGGUAGGAACAAAGUUUCAGCACAAACUGAGGAUUAAGAAACAACAACAACAACAAUAACAAGCAAACUAGAUACCUUCGCUUCAUUUUGGCAAAUGAUAAUGUAUUGAUCAAGAUGUUACAAUUGACAUAGGAGUGUGAUGGAUGCAAUGGAAAAAGUGUAUCCAAAUUCAAUAUGUUGUAUUGGUCAAUAGUAAGGUUGUAUAUGCUCAAUGUAACACAGUAUUAAGACACUAAAUGUUUUUAUCUAUAAGCUGGACAUAAACACACACUCAACCACUUUAAGGAUACUCAAGUGGAAGCUUAUUCGAACCUAUUCACAAAAAGAAUGUUGAUGACAAUUUCCUUCUUCACAAAGUUUAGGAUCACAAAUGAGAGAUAAAAUAGGUUAACAUCAUGACAAAAGUUCCGCAUCAAGUAUAUAGCAUACUACAUCAUUGAACUUGCAUUGCAUCCACAUGUUCAUUGAUGCUCAAAGGAAUAUUUGGAUCUAAAUAACAAAAGUGUCGUUGAUAUUUCAAACUACUAAUGUCACGCCCCGAUCUUCGGGCACGCACACAUCCUUUUACCUGGUCGAUUUUAAAAUGCGAUGUCCCAGGACAAUGUAUCGUUCCGAAGGCAGGUGAAAGCGAAAAAGUUUUGACCUUUUCUUUUUAUUAAGCACAUGCGGAAGUAGUUAUAAAUCCCCAAACAAUAAAACAAUGGGAUAGAAAAGUAAGGUUAUAUUUUUUAUAUUGAAAUUCACAACCAUACUUUUAUACAGAACAUAAACCAAAGUACUUCACAACUAUUCACAACUUUUUACUCUAACUCUAUUCACAUCAAAAUGGAGUUCACAAAAGAAGAUGGAAUCUCAGUCCAUCCGAGUUGUACUCAAGGUCCCUCUCGGUAUUAUCUUCUUCUUCCAAAAAUCCUUCUCCUCAGGUUUAACCUCAUAAUUCUCUUUCACAGAUUCCUCCUCCUUAGCUCCUCAUCGGGAUCCUAAAAUGUUGUCCCACAACCAGAAUGAGAUUACGUUUCAGCAAGUUCUACCCCACUAAGACUCAAUUAGGGAACCAAUACACUACUCAAUUGCCUAAGCACAGCACGAGUCAGAAGACUUAUCUUGACCUCAGUCUUAACCUGCAAUUCAAGGUUAUAUACGAACGCUUCAUAAAUUACAACAAACAAUCAAUUAAAUCAUGACAAUCUGAUCAAAUCAUUGAUAAAUCGAACUAGUCAAUUACAUGUCAAACGGACCAUUCUAUGUCAUUGAUUCCACACCAUAUAACCUCCCAUCGGGCACUUGGUCACAGAGCCACAUCAAUGCUCUCGGGCAUCAAGUUCGCCAAGGUGACUUAUUCAUUAGACAAUUGCGUGCGUUCAUUAAGGCGCCGUUUUCGCCAGUGACAUGCUUAGUUACCGAACCACGCAUGCCUAUAACCAUGUGCUCAAUAGACAAUUAUGUGCAUUCUUUAAGGCGCCGUUUUCGCUAGUGAUAUCCUUAAUCACCGAACCACACAUGCCUAUGACAAUGUGUUUAAUAGACAAGUGUAUGCAUUCUUUUAAGGCGCCGUUUUCGCCAAUGAUGUCCUUAAUCACUGAACCAUACAUGCCUAUAACAAUAUGAGUACUAGACCAAUACGUGCGUUCUUUAAGGCUCCGUUUUCACCAGUGAUAUCCCAAAUCACCGAACCACGUAGGCCCAUACACCGUGUCUGAUUGGUUUAAGCCCAGAGUAUUUCCAAUUCACUCUCACGAUUCUACUCACUUUAUAACUCAACCAAGCAUUAUAAAUGCUAAAUAAACAUACUCGGCCAACUACUAGUAAAUCAAUCAAUCCCACUCAAUUUCAAACAAUUUAGGGUAAAUCCCUAAAAUAUCACAAUUUAUUUAAUUCCAUGCAACGUAGAGCUCAAUUAAAUAAAUGGACCAUGCCACGACAGUCAGCAUGAGAUUUCGGUUGUCGGCCAUCUCAACCUUAAUUUCCGAAAAAUAAAUAAAUAAUUAAUUAAUUCCGAAAAUUAAAUAAUUAAUAUUAAAAAUUCAAUUUAGCUCAAAAUAAAGCCCGAUUAAAUAAACGGACUUCACCACGGUCAUUAGCAUUUCGGAAAAUAAAUAAAUAAUUAAUUUAAUUCUGAAAAAUAAUAUUUAAAUACCAAAAAUUCCACUUAGGCCCGAAUUGUCAAAUUGAAGCCCAAUAAAGGGUCGGAAAAAUCCUGAGCUACCCUCAAUAAAUAGUAGACCAUAUCUACUUGCUAAAUACACAUUCAAUUUGUCUAAUUUGCAUCACAAUUAACUAGUAAACACUAAUCUAACCACCUAAACCUAAUUAAAUAAAACUAAACAAUCAUUAAGUAUAAUUAGCCCACUAAGUAAGGAUCAAUUCGACGGGCACGGCGCGAGGAACGAUUCCUUCCAAAGCACGACUCGGGUCCAGGGCCCGGAAAUAGCCCAAAGCGAGCCCGAAGGGGGCUGGAAAUCCACUCCGUGGGGGGCUGCGAUGGCUGUAAAAAGACACAAAACAGCCACAAAACAAAGCGCGGCAAGGUGCGGGGGAGGGUCGGUGGAGGUUCGGUGGCUUCAAACGGUGGCAGGAGGUGGUCGGACGGGGGCUGGACAGAGGCUGGGUAGUGGCUGGAUCGCGCGGGGGAGGGAUGGCAACGAGCGGCGGGCGCGCGGGCGUGCGCGGACGGCGGAACGACGGCGAGCGGUGGGGGCACGGGUGGUAGUGCGUGGGUGGCGACGGUCUUCGGCGAGCUGCUGCUGUCCGUUCUUCUUCAGCUUCUGGUUUUCAUGAAGAAGAAGGAAGAAGAAAGGUGUUUCGGUCACAUGGGGUGGGGAAAGAAGAAAGGGAAGNNNNNNNNNNNNNNNNNNNNNNNNNNNNNNNNNNNNNNNNNNNNNNNNNNNNNNNNNNNNNNNNNNNNNNNNNNNNNNNNNNNNNNNNNNNNNNNNNNNNNNNNNNNNNNNNNNNNNNNNNNNNNNNNNNNNNNNNNNNNNNNNNNNNNNNNNNNNNNNNNNNNNNNNNNNNNNNNNNNNNNNNNNNNNNNNNNNNNNNNNNNNNNNNNNNNNNNNNNNNNNNNNNNNNNNNNNNNNNNNNNNNNNNNNNNNNNNNNNNNNNNNNNNNNNNNNNNNNNNNNNNNNNNNNNNNNNNNNNNNNNNNNNNNNNNNNNNNNNNNNNNNNNNNNNNNNNNNNNNNNNNNNNNNNNNNNNNNNNNNNNNNNNNNNNNNNNNNNNNNNNNNNNNNNNNNNNNNNNNNNNNNNNNNNNNNNNNNNNNNNNNNNNNNNNNNNNNNNNNNNNNNNNNNNNNNNNNNNNNNNNNNNNNNNNNNNNNNNNNNNNNNNNNNNNNNNNNNNNNNNNNNNNNNNNNNNNNNNNNNNNNNNNNNNNNNNNNNNNNNNNNNNNNNNNNNNNNNNNNNNNNNNNNNNNNNNNNNNNNNNNNNNNNNNNNNNNNNNNNNNNNNNNNNNNNNNNNNNNNNNNNNNNNNNNNNNNNNNNNNNNNNNNNNNNNNNNNNNNNNNNNNNNNNNNNNNNNNNNNNNNNNNNNNNNNNNNNNNNNNNNNNNNNNNNNNNNNNNNNNNNNNNNNNNNNNNNNNNNNNNNNNNNNNNNNNNNNNNNNNNNNNNNNNNNNNNNNNNNNNNNNNNNNNNNNNNNNNNNNNNNNNNNNNNNNNNNNNNNNNNNNNNNNNNNNNNNNNNNNNNNNNNNNNNNNNNNNNNNNNNNNNNNNNNNNNNNNNNNNNNNNNNNNNNNNNNNNNNNNNNNNNNNNNNNNNNNNNNNNNNNNNNNNNNNNNNNNNNNNNNNNNNNNNNNNNNNNNNNNNNNNNNNNNNNNNNNNNNNNNNNNNNNNNNNNNNNNNNNNNNNNNNNNNNAACCACCGGCCCCCCUUUUUAUUAAUUUUAUUAAUUUUAUUAAUUUUUUUUUAAAUUUUUUAAUUUUAAAAUUAUAAUUUUUUAAUAUUUUGCUAAAUUUAAUUUAAAAUUAUUAUUUUUUAAUAUUUUAACUAAAUCUAAUUUAAAAUUAUUAUUUUUUAUUUUUAAAAAAAUUUAUUUUAAAAUUUUUAGUUUUUAAUAUUUUAACUAAAUUAAAUUUUAAAUUAUUUUUUAAAAUUUUUAACUAAAUCUAAUUUUAAUUUUUUUAAUUUUAAAAUUAUUAUUUUUUAAUAUUUUAACUAAAUUUAAUUUUAAAAUUAUUAUUUUUUCAAUAUUUUAACUAAAUAUAAUUUUAAAUUAAUUAUUUUUUAAUUAUUUUUAAAAUUUUUAAUUUGAAAAUUUUUAAUUUUUAAGUAUUUUAACUAAAUUUAAUUUUAAAAUUAUUAUUUUAUAAAUAUUUUGACUAAAUCUAAUUUUAAAAUUAUCAUUUUUUAAUAUUUUAACUAAAUCUAAUUUUAAAUUUAAUUUAUUUAAUUAAUUUAUUAUUUUUUUAUCCCAUGAGUCCAAAACGACGCCGUUUUUGCAUUAUUCGGCCAUGUCAGCAUGCAAAACGGCGUCGUUUUUGGCUCGGUUCGCCGGAAAAAUGCCACGUCGGCAUUUUGGCCGGAUUUUGGCCGGAUUGGCACUCAAGUGAUCCAUUUUGCUCCGAUUUUGGCACUUAAGUGUACCUUUCGUAACUUUUGGCACUCCAGGGGUCCUUGUCCCCUUUUUAAUUUCUUCUGGUCUUCAAUUUUUCCUCCGAUAAUUUCUUUCCCGAAAUUUUGGAAUCGUCAAUAAAUUGACGGACGAUGAGACAGGAUCCUAAAAAUGAAUUGUGACACGCUCGAAUAUUCGAUUCCCGAAACCAAAUUAAAUUUCAUAAUUAGAAUCGAUUAGAUGUGAUUUUAGCCCAAUCCAACUAAUUAGGUAGCUUUUAGGGAUUUUAUCGCAGAUACAUCCCUUAACGGCUUCACCCAAUAGGUUAGUUAACUCGUGAGUGAUCAGCUCAGAGAAAAAUGACCAUAGGCACGUCGACGAAAUGCCCAUUUCACUUUAUCAAAACGGGGUCAAAUUUCAAGAUGUCACAACUAAUGCAAGCUGCACAACUCAAACUUUGAGAAAUGGAAACUAAUGAUGAUUUGUUUUUUAUUCUUUUAUAAGUAAACGCACUCGACUAAUGUGGUUCCUAGAGGAUGCAAACCAUUACAAUGUCCUCUAAGAUAAGUGGAUAAGAAUUUAAUAAAAAGAAAAAAAGCCUUACUUUGCAAUAUGACGUAAUUGUCUCAAGGCAGGAGCAUAAAGGUCAUUUCAUAUGCAUAUUACCCGUAAUAUGUGGAUCAUUCACUUUGAAAUUGAAUAAAAGAAAUUUUGAAGAAAUAUGUCUAAGCACUGAACUAAUAGGUCUCAAUAGUGAUGGAAUCUUCUGCCUCUUUUUUGAGAUCUUUCUAGAUUGUUCUUCCUUUGCAGCAUUUUGCUUUCCUUCCUCAAUUUUUCUUCCAGCAGAGACCUCAUAUAUAUUAUGCAUUGAAAUGAGGAUAUUAUAAGUUUGAGCAAUAUAAAAUACUUGAUCUGAUAAAAACCUAGUUCUAAACAAAAUAAAGAAGAGUUUCCAUGAGAAUCUAAUUAACCAUAGGGCGCCCUACUCUCUCUUUAAUUUAGACAUAAGAAAGGAAAUCACGCAUAUAAAAGGAAUUUUAUGAAUCCUUAAGCUUUUUAUCAUAAGGAUUUGAUUUUGGUAAUACAGUCCUCAGUUUUUAAGUUGCUUCUACUAUUAGGAUUGCGUACAUGCUCUUCCCAAAGAAACCAAGACCUCACACUUUAUCAUUUUUUUUUCAUAGGUAAAAGGAUAGACUAUAGGGCAACAACUGGGUGCAACCCGUAUAGAGAAGAGUUCAAAUCACUAACGGCAUAUAUAAAGUAGUUCUCAAAUUUGAGCCAGAUUUUUUGGUUAUUGAGAAAGGUGAAUUCUUAUAGAUCUAUCCCCCAAAGGAAUUGGACAGGAGCUCCAUAACAAGACGAAUCAUCAAUUAUAUUGACCAAGACAUUUACAUCCUAAGCAAGUUUCCACUAUGCUAAAAGUGUGAAACGUUAAGCCAAUUUCAAAAAAUAAUACAGAGAUGGGAGAUUCCUUUCCAUCAAAAGCUCUCUUGUUCCGCUCCUCCCCAAUCAACCAAAAAGUGGAAAGAGGAGUUGAGGUAAUCUGUCUUCUCUUAUUGUGCUGUAAGUGAAUGCCCUGCUAAGCCGAAAUUUUUUGCUCAAUAGAACUUCCAAUAACCCAAGAUAACCCGAUGCAAGCAGAGGAAGCUGUCGAAACCCGUCUCAUCCAAGAACAAUGAAGGAGGAGAUGCUUCUCUACCUCCUUUUUUGCAGAUGAAACACUAAAUAACCAAUACUUUGCCACUUUGUUGCACGUUAUCUUUUUGAGCAAAAAAAGGAAACUCUUUUUGGAAUUUUCACUUUCCAAAUCGCUUUUCAAAGAAAAUCCAAAUUACCACGAAAACCCUCCCUAUCUAGCAUCUUGUAGUAAAAUUUUGUAGAAAAAGUUUCUGCCUCUUCCACCGUUCUCCACCAAAGUAUCCCCAGAAGCAGUAGAAAUCUUCGAAUUGCACGAAACAUUUUAAAAAAAAAAAAAAAAAAAAAAGGCCCCAUUUCAAACACCCAAACUUGGGCUGCCUCAAAAAAUCAAUAAUGACCAUAUCAUCGUUUAAACAAUAACAAUCUGGUACCAAAGCCUCCAUGUUCUGGUGAUGUCGAAGACAUCUAGGAACUGAUCUUCCAAAGUUGUGUCCCCACGUCAAACGUCCUGUGUCCUAUUUCCAUAAGAAAAAACUCGCUUCAACAUUCUCUAAUCUUCCUUCGUACAUUAGUCUGUGUAAAGCUCCCCUAUCCUCAGUGAUUCAGCCUGCCUUUUUAAGGCCAAAGUUUGCAACUACUACUUUUCUUCGAAGAUGUUCAUUUGCAACACUGAACCGCCAAUGCAAUUUGCCGAGAAGAGCCAUGUUGAUUAACAAGAACUUGAUGACUAAACUGCCAUUUGAAAAAGGUCAUCUGAUUGCUUUCCGAUCCACUAAGUUGAACUUGUGAGCCUCCUCAAUAUCAUCCCAUGAAAAUUCAUUCUGAAUGGCAUCCAACCUUUUAGCCACCGAGGAAGGGAUUAGAAAAGAAGAAAUGAAAUAAAUAGGAAGAUUGGGAAUAGUGCUUUCAAAAAGACCUCUCCCUGCUUUGGAGAGGGAAGAACUUUUCCAACCAGAUAAUCACUUAUCAAAAACAGGCUCCUAGGUAUGCUUGUUCUUGGAACUAGAACCAAAAAGGGAGACCCAAAACCUAUCCAUUACGGAUUAGCAAAAUUCCAGAACUCUUUCAUAAAAUCAUGUCAUUUCUCUCUAAUGGAAAACUCAAAAAUCAGUUCUUAUUGGGGAGGGAUUUGAUUACGGAGACUCAUAAAGUUUGCAUCGUUUAAUCAAAGCCCUUUUGGGGAAAUGGCAAUGGAGAUUUGCACACAGCUCGUAGGAAAGAAAUCUUUUUAUAAGAUAGAGGUAAAGGGAGCAAGGUCGGCAUACCAAGGGAUUUAAAGGUGCGGGGCACCUAAUUAUGGAAAUCUGUCAGGAGAAAUUGAAAUAACUUCUCGAGUUUAUCCACUUCAAUGUCGCCCAUGGAUGUAAGACACGAUCUUGGAUUGUUUUGUGUUGUGGCUAACUUGUGAUAAACAUUUGCAUGACAAUUAGCCGCACUUCUGUGCCAUAGCAUUACAUAAAAAGUGCUGCACUUUCUAAGACAAAUAGUCAUUCCAUCCAUUGGAAUUCAAGGCUUGAUUGGAACGUUGAUUAGCUCAAGUCGGUUAGUUUAAAUUCUGUAUUAUUGGAAUUCUUCCUUGCCUUUCUUGGUUGUCAUCUUAAACCUUUUUACCUAUAAGAGAAAAUUAGAGAUGAAAAUAAUUUCAUAAUUGACAGCAUUUGAAUUGAAUUUCUUUUCUACUCAGAACACAAGUUUUUUUUUUUUUUUGGUCGAAGUGAAAACGCUUUGAUUGAUACUAAGUAGGUGGACUACAAGUAGUAGGAAAAUCAACACAUAAGAUAAGAAAAAGUUCGUGCGGGGGAUUAGUAACCCAAUUACCCGGCAAGGAACCGGAAUUGUGUGAUUUGGCAAUCCAGUCCGCGGCUCGGUUGGACUCACUCGGUUCAAACUGCAAGAAGACAUCCUUCAUUUGGCCCAGUAGCUGUCGGCAGUCAAGGACAAAGGGCCGCGAGGCCCAUGGAAUUUCUAUGCGGCCCAGAAUAGACUCAACAACAGGGAGGCAGUCACUUGAUAUGUAGAAAGCUGCUUCAGUUCGUGCGGUUGAAACUGGUUCUGUCAGACCAGUUCGCUUCUCCUUCAGCCACUUGAGUGAACGCUGGAUGGCUAGGGUUUCGGCCAUGUGAGCCGAUUGAGCUCGGAUUUUCUACACAAAACCAGCGGUACACACCCCAUCAGCUCCUCUACAAAUCUCGGCUAUGGAUCCCUCCGAUCUAUUCUCUUGCCAUGAACAGUCCACGUUAAUCUUCCACGCGCCCGGAUCUGGAGGCACCCAUGAGUAUCGUUCCGAGGUAAUCGCUGUCCUUUGUGGUUGCCACUUCUCAAAUAGUUGCUGAGCUAGGCGAGCUUCACUGAUUAUCUUGUUUUGUUCUAUUUUCCGGCCUUGAAAGAUCAGGCCGUUUCGUGCUUUCCAUAUGUACCACAGAGUGGUCGCGAAGGUCGCCUUUUGACUUGCUGAGUUGCCAGAGAAGAGGUAGUUGCAUACCCACCGAUCUAUUCUUGUAAUUGAUGUCGGGGAGGUGUUGAUUUGAUCACUGAAGUUCAGCCAUAGUGCGUUUGUCCACUGGCACGGGAUAAAUAGAUGCUCGGAGUACUCCAAAUGCUCGUGACAGAAAGGGCAAGUAGGCUCAGGUAAGAUUUUCCUCCGGCAUAGGUUGAGUCUCGUAGGAAGGCCUUUGGUACAUAAGCUCCACAUGAAGUGCCUGAUUCUGGGAUUAGUAUGUAGGUGCCAUAUUUCCUUCCAUAGUCAGUUGGGGACUUGAAAAGAAGAUGAUGCCUAGUUCUCUGUGUUUGUUAUGGUUGUUGUUCGUAGUCUGUGGUACCCAUGUUUGAUUUUGUAGUUCCCCGAGUGAUGCCCUGUCCAUAUUAAGUAGUCAGGUCUGGUGUUUAUACUGAGUGUUGUUUGCUGGAUCUCCUCUGAGAUGUUACUGUAAAAAAAGCUCAUUGAUGAUUUGAUUUUUCCAUGUACGCGAGUGUGGAUCAAUAAUAUCUGCAACUAGCUUCAGGUCAUUUUGAUUCGCCAGUCCUCCAAUUUUGCCUGACAUGAGCCAACGAUCUUCUCUUAAGUUUAUAGAUUUGCCAUCCCCAACCUCCCAUUUCAAAUCAGGUUCAAGAGCAUCUCGGCCAAGUAGGAGGCUCUGCCAACCCCAUGAUGGUCUGGCGCCCUUAGUAGCAGUCCAUAGGCUACCAUUAGGGAAGUAGAGGCCUUUAAAAAUUCUGCUCCAUAAGGCCUUUGGAGUUUGAUGGAGUCUCCAGGCUUGUUUCCCCAGCAUUGCCUUGUUAAGUUCCAUUAAAUCUCUAAAUCCCAAUCCACCUUGGUCCUUUCUCAUCUUUAAGACAUCCCAACUCUUCCAGUGAAUACCUCUUUGUACUGCAUUCUUCCUCCACCAAAAAUCUGAAAUUUUCCUUUCAAUCGCUCGGCAAAUGGAUAGGGGUAUUUUGAAUAUAUUCAUGGCAUAUUGGGGAAGAGCCUGAACAACCAUUUUUAUUAGUACUUCUUUCCCCGCCUUCGAAAUUAACUGCUCCUUCCAGCCCUCCAGUUUUCUAUCCACCCGUGCCAUGAUCCAAUUGAACAUUUUUUUUUUGUUGGACCCCAAUCUGAUGGUAUCCCUAAGUAUUUUCUAGUUUUUUUUUCUAAGAUAGGAACCCUCAAUUCAGAUGUUAUGUUUCUUUUUAAAACCUGUGGACAGCUUUCCCCAAAGAACACCCCCGAUUUGUUACGAUUAACUGACUGGCCCGUCGCAAAGCAAUAGCAAUUCAGUAAGUUUGCAAGAUUCUGAGCUUCUCUAAGUGUUCCAUCCAGAAAGAAAAUAGCAUCAUCCGUGAAAAAUAGGUGGGAAAGAGUGGGGCAAUGAGGGUUUAAUUUAAUACCUUUUAGGGUACCAUCACUAACAGCAUUUUGCACCAUGUGGGAGAGGACGUUGGCCAAAAGUAUGAACAGAUAAGGUGAGAGCAGAUCGCCUUGUCGUAUACCUCUCGAUGGAAUAAAGGUUUCUCCUGCUUCACCAUUGAUUAAGAUUCGAAAUUGGGCUGAGGAGAUGCAAAAUUUGAUCAGCUGCACCCAUCUAUCACUAAAACCCAUCUUCUUCAUGCAAUCACAUAGAAAGUCCCACUCUACUCUAUCGUAUGCUUUCUGCAUAUCUAGUUUCAGCACAGCCUGGAAUUUUCUUCGCCUUUUUCUAACUCGUAGCUGAUGUAUGACUUCUUGGACUAUAAAAAUGUUAUCUUGUAUCUGUCGAUUGCUAACAAAAGCGCUUUGUUCAGGAGAAAUAAUAAGAUGGAGCCAAGGUUUGAGUCGAUUCGCCAUGACUUUUGUGAUAACUUUAUAGCUGAAAUUACACAAGCUAAUGGGCCUAAAUUCUGUUAUGCUUUCAGGGUUUGCCACCUUGGGGAUGAGUGUAAUAUGGGUUACGUUUAGUUCUGGAUCAAAGGUUCCUUCUCUGAAAAAAGAGUUUACAAGCUGGAAUAUGUCUUCAUGAGUGAUAUGCCACUGACUUUGAUAGAAUAGGCCACUUAAACCAUCUGGUCCUGGGGCUUUAGUUGCCCCAAUCUGAAAAACAGCUUGCUGCACUUCUUCCUUUGUGACUAGUCUUAUGAGUGCCUCAUUCAUUUCCUCGGUUACCGUGCGUGGACAUUGCUCUAAGACUGGCUGAUAGUAUCGGUGCCCCACGGAUUGGUAUAGAUUCUUGUAGUAGCUUGUGAUGUGUUGUUUGAUAACUCGAGGCUCAUGGCUCCAUACAUUCUCAUCAAGUUUGAGCAUGUUGAUUUUAUUUCUUUGUCGCCUCUGAAUGGUUGUUGCAUGGAAGAAUUUCGAGUUCCGAUCACCCCACUUCAGCUAAUUAAUUCUGGAUCUAAUGCCCUAAUACAUUUCUUCUUGGCGCCAUAAUGUGCCAAUUUUCUCAGUUAAAUUAUAGUAUUCCUCUCCCAUUUUGUCUGGUCUGCCCUGUUCAUUAUUUGGAUGAGCUGGUUUCUGAGCUGAUCAAUAUGUUUGGAUGCAUUUUUAAAAGAUCUCAUUCUCCAAUUUCUCAAAUCUUGAGUUACUUGCUUUGUCUUCCUUACCAGGUUUUGGUGCUGCCCGUUUACUGCCUUCCAAGCCUGAUCUACUACAGCUGCACACUCAGGAUGAUCUACCUAGUAAGGCUCAAAUCUGAACAAUUUUUGUCUUUUCUGUACAACUGAAUUUAAACAAAGCAUUAGAGGACCAUGAUCAGAACCUAUGGCUGGAUAUACAAAAGCUUCAGCAUUAGGAAAUAGGAGCCUCCAUUCUAGGUUGCAAAAUGCUCAAUCAAGCCUCUUCUUGACUAAUUCCUCGCAUUCCCUGUUAUUUGUCCACGUAAAUGCACACCCCUUACUUUCAAUGUCUAUUAACGAGCGUGAAUCAACAAACUCUCGAAACGCUGUCAUUCGGAACCUUUCCACUGAUCUUUGACCCACCUUCUCCCAAUGGUAUAAUACCUCAUUGAAAUCUCCUAUACAUAGCCAAGGUUGUGAGGUGUUUCCAUUUCUUGCUCGAAGAUAGUUCCAAAGAGAGACUCUUUCUUGGAAAUUUGUUGACGCAUGCAGCAUCAAAAUCUUCAUUUUAAUUCCAUUUCCAGCAUCUGUGCAUGAAAUUUCGAUCAUCUCUUGGCAACUAUAUUCAAUAGAGAUUUGCACCGACUCAUCCCAUAAGAGUACUAGUCCUCCCGCAAUGCCGAUAGGAUUAAUAGCAAACAUAGAAGUAAAUCUUAGUCUUUUUUUGAUAUUUUCCACCACCGAGUAUUGAUUCUUUGUCUCCAUAAGAAAAACCAGAUUAGGUCUCUCACGAGCCACUAAGGCUUGUAGGUGCUGGACUGUCAAGGGAGAGCCUAGACCUUGACAGUUCCAGCUUAAAACUUUCAUGGCUCCUUUGGUGGCUUGUUAGGGCUAGCCACCAAAGCCCCUACAGAUUCACCUUCCCAUACUUGAAUUGGUGUAUCCAUAAGUUGGUCCAUAUCCACUAGGGUUGUCAGUGAAACCCUCUUCUCAUAGGGAGCAAACCGUUUCAAUUUUUUGGGUAUUGGUUUCGUUGGGCCAAGUUUCACUACCCCCUGAGUCGCUACACCUGCAUCCUCUAUUUGAUAUGUCUUUAGAAGAUUUGAAGGCUGCUGUGUCCUUUUCCCUUUCUUUUGUGCAAUAAGCUCUGCUGAAUCUGGUCCUUCUGGUGUUGUUUGUGUCACAGGUUGAUAAAGCACAAGGGCUUGACUCUCAUCACAAGAACUUUUCUUGUUUGAUUCAUCACAAGAGGGGAUAACAGGGGUUUCGGGAACCAUAUCAUCUUCUAUUAAGGUAAAAUCGAUGUCGCCGUAGAAAGUAUUCCAGCAAGGGCUAAGAGGUUUCACCUCUGCCUUUAACCAAGAACCAUAGCGGCUUGGUUUGUCCUGAGGAAGUCCAGAUUCUUCAUAGGGAUAUGUCCGACAAUAGUUAGCAUAGUGGCCUAUAUAACUGCAGGAAUAACAAUAAUGUGGGAGUCUCUCGUAUUUAAAGUCAAUCCACCAGUUGCGAUCUCCGACGUGAAUGAUUGUUCCAGUUUUAAGGGGCUGCAUUAGAUUCAGCCUCACUUUUGCUUUGCUUACCUUUCAAGAAUCAUUGUUCCGAGCAUCAAUUCUAACUUCCUCUACCUUUCCCAUUUUUCCAGCAAUCAUGCUAAUACACUUCUCCGACAUUGCAGCCCUUGGAAGCCCCAUCAAAUGCACCCAGAACGAGCAGGAGUUGAAUUCAUAACAAUGCUCGGGAACGGUAGGGUCUCCUUCCUGUAAGAUUAACAGAUUACUGGCAAAAGACCAAGGGCCUGUUUGGAGUAUUCUCUUCUUAUCUGCCUCUGAUUUAAAUAUGAAAACAAAGAAACCCUGUUCUAUCACCUUGCAUCUGACUUCUUCUACCUUCCAAGACUUUUUCAUUGUAGCCCAGAAUGCUGGAAAGUUAGCAUUUGGUUUCGAGAACAAUUUUCCAUAUAAUAGAUGCUCAUCGGCCUUUUGGUUUACCUCAGGGAUGUGAUUAUUCAACUCCGUAAUAUCAUCCGCAGCCCAGAGAUCUCCCAUACGUUUACAGAGGGUCAACAACCGGAGCAGAGGGUCAACAAUCGGAGCUGGUUUUCAUGGCUUCCCUCCAUUGCUUCAGCAGGUCUUUCUAGAGAAGAGGGUUUUCGUUGACGACAAGAUGGGGGUUCCAAAGAUGAGCGGGUUUUGGUUCAGACGAUGGUUUUAUGGGGAAUGAAGGGAGCUCUGUAGAUUACACGAUCAUUGACUGAUAGAUCUGAGUUAUGACAAGUUAGGGUUUGAGGAAGCAAUUUGUUCAUUCAUUUUUUGUUGUUUUUUGGGUUGAAAGGAGUAAAUGAUUGAUCAAUCAGGUGGGGAAUGUGUAGCAAUAUCCAUUGCGAAGACAGAUUCCAAGUCUGGAAAGAAAAAAGGAUCUAUCCCAGGAAGGAGAGAAGGAAACUCACCGUCGGCGAGAGAAGAGGCCACUAUCGGGCAGAGAGGACGCAGAGCUUUGCGAGAGAAUAUGGGGAAGUCGAAAUGGGAGGGCACUCAGAACACAAGUUAAAUAAAAGAGAAAUAGUAGAAUUCUCCGUGGACUCUGGCCCGAAGUUGCAUUGGCCGACCGUCAGUCAUUCACUAGGCCCAUGCAUCAUCGUAUGGGCAAACAGAACGGGGCUUACAUUUCAGUGGCUACCCUUUUUUUUUCACUCAAUAAGGCUAUAAGUACCCCAGUAUGUAGGAUGUAUUUUACUUGGUCGGUGUUUUAAAAUUAAUUGGACUCGCGAAUUCUAGGAUAUGGAGUAUUCAGCUAUGUCAAGGUACUUGGAAAAGACGACAGAGCUUGUGGUCAAGUUACAUUAACAUGAAGCCCGCACGUCGUGCAGAUUAAUGAAACGCGUUCCCCUGAAAGGGACGUACAGCUUUGUACAAGGAAUCACAUGGGAACAGAGCAGGCAACCGGAACUCAUUGACUUCUCCAAAACCUUUUCAAAAAAGAUUGGCAGAAUUAAGAAUCUGAUUCUCAGAAUAGAAGCUCAGGCAGAACUCACCCUACGCUUCAUUGUGAUGUGAUGAACAUUCCUUUCACCAAGUCGUUCUGAGUUUCUCGGAAUGGAGGUCCGACCACAAUUGAGGCCAUUUUAAAUCAAGGACAAGGAAGGUUUCCAGCAGAAAGAUUUUGCAUACAUAGGAAAAAUCCUUUUGAGGUGGGAGGGUAAAGGAAGAUAAGUGUCUGUAAGCAACGAUAUAUGACAACUUGACUAUAAUGAAGAACCACUGGUCUGGUGGUCAACAGCAGACAAGUAACUGAGAGUAUCUGAAAUGAUACACAAUGUUCAAUACAGAACCAGAUCACAGAAUCAGACCUUGAACAGGCUCAUGCUUCGAUGGCUUCGGCUCAGCAGAAGCAGUGGCCUUUGGAGACUCCGAUGAAUGAAUCUGAGCAAAGUCAUCCACUACUUUUCUCUUCUGUUCCUCUUCGGCCAUUCCCACUUUCUCCUUUGUCUUCUGGCCGACUUCCCCAGCUGCCUUUGCAACUUUGUUAAAAGCGCCUGUUACCCACGACGCCCCCGUGAACACAUAACGGUUCUUCAUAAUGGCUGAUCCAGCACUGCUAACUUUUUGCUCGGCUGCCACAAAUGCUGACUUGGUUUUCUCCGAAACUUGAAAUUUUUUAUCCACUUCCCUGACCUUGCCGCCCACAACUGCGGUACCCACACUGAUUUUCUCGGUCAGCCCAAUCUUCUUAUCAAAGGAAGCGACUUUUGAUGAGGCGGUCGAUGUCAACUGAUGUUUCUCAUCAAGGGACUUGGCUUUUUUCACUGCAUCUUUGUCCAAUAUGAAGCCCUUAGCCAGCAUGCUGGUAACUACAUCCUCUGCUUUUCGCAAAGCAGAGUCACCACCAGCUGGACUUUCGUUUUCAGUUACCUGCAAGAAGAGCAAUAAUCGCGUUCAAUAUGGUCCUAAAUUUUUAGCUUAGUAGAAAAUAUUAUGCGACAGGAGUCAGGACACUCAGGACUUUUACUGGUGGUGCUAUAGCAUCAGGAGGCAGCUUGUAAUCUGGAGCGAGAGCAAUGCUGACAGACAUAUCAACGAUAGUUGCACCCUGACAUUCAAAGGAGUUCAAAGUGAACCUUGCUAUCACGAUGCAUAAAUAACAAGUAGAUAAUUUAAUUUCCAACUGUCAUAUCUGUCUUGUUAUCUAAUGAAAUAUGACUACUAGGCAAAAGAAUCCGAAAGUUACAUAUAAGAAAGACCACAGAGAUGGAGAUUUCUCUUCAUGCAAAUUCAUAAAUAUGCCAUGCGGAAAAAAAAAAUGGUGACAAGGGGCUAAUGAUGAAGGACAUUAUAGGACAAGAACUAACAUCAUUACCAACAUAUAUGUUCGGCCAGAGUAAAAUGGAAGCCCCUAGUGUGAUGAAUCCAUUCUAAAUAUUAUCCUCCCCCUUCUGUUAGCUCACAAGGAUUUUAGUUCAUCAUGCAAGCCAGAUUAUACUACAAGGUCUACAGGCGAUUCUCGUCUCAAAUGCAUCAGCUGAUCAAUCACAAGCACUAUUACAAGGACAAGCAAAACCAAACAAAAAGAAACAAAACGAUAGCUCAGGAAAGCCUCAGAGCAUCACUUCGUUGCUGCAACAAUCCUAGACAUAAAUUCUUAAUGAUAAUUAGGCCAAUUGAAUACUUUCCAUAGUAUACAGAUUUUCCUUCUCCCAAAGUAGUGACUUUGCGCGUGUAAAAAAGACUUAAUGAAUAGCUAGCCACUGUAGAAAGUAUGGGAUAUUGGAAGGCCAAAAUGAAAUGACGCUAGUAUGAUGAACUGUACUACCGAAAGCAUAAUGGCAGUCUCUGCUCCUUGAGCAUCCUUGAACGCGACAUAUGCAACUUGAGACCGCUCAGUGUCACUGUGUAAUUAGAAGAAGAAAAACAUAAGAAAUGUCGCUGUGAAACCAAAUGAUUGAGCGAGCAAAGGAGUAGACUCAACCUGUGCAUCUCAACAUAUGCAAUAUCACCGGAAAAUGAGAAGAAGUCCUUGAGGUCCCUCUCUGUUGCUCCUAGGGAGACAUUGCUAACCUUAGCAGUUGUCAGCUGCAAUGACAUUUAUAUGUUAGUUAGAAUUAUACCCAUAGACCAGUCACAAUUUGAUGUGAAUAAAAUAUUACAACAAAGAAAUCUGAUGGCAGAAAGUAAGCUAAUGAUAACAGCCUUGAAAUAGGGUUUUAAGCCAUUCCAAGAGGCUACACCAUGAAUGGCUGAGCCGAAGGGAUCUCCUUAGCAAGACUUGCUCCUCUUUUUUGUCCAAUAACUUGCUGAAUGAUAUGUUCUUUUUCGUGGAACGUUUUGAAGGCAAUUAUGCAAGUUUUAAACAAGAAAGCAAACAAACUAUGCUAAAUGCAGGCAUUCAGAUCCUUCCAAUCUUUCACACUCCCACAUUCGCAUUGACCAAACUGAUCCGAGAUCUUCUCAAAUCAAAGCAAAGGGCUCUUGGGCUAAUCUGUCACUAUUGAAGAACUAAUUCACUUGGACUCCCAAUGAAAGACAUCAGCACCACAUAAAUGCUCACCGCAUCUGGUAGAGGCUUUCAUCAAUAUGUUGAAAAAAUGGGGGAAAAAGAAACCUCGAUGGGACAUGUCUAAAUCCAAUUCGAGGCCCAAUUAACGAACUUUUCAAUUCAAGAAAGUGAGAAGCUCUAAAAAAUUUUAUAUUGCUUAAAUGCUUGAAUGAUUUAAAUGUGAAUAGGGUACCCCUAUUUAUGCACUAUUUCCUCUUUUGAGGAGCUUUGAUUCUUUUUUUAUUAAACAGUGUAGCUCAGGUAACAUGAGGGUAACGGUGUAAAGACACGAGGUGAUAUAAAAGUUUGAUUUUUUCUCUUCUUCUGAUGACCACUGCAUACAGGAAGAUUUGAUACCAUCUUUUACCCUUUCCAUUACUUUCUUUUGGUCCUUUUUACAAUAUUUAUUCAAUAUCAAUCUGUUCAUUAUCAUUACGAUUAUAUUAUGACGACGACGACGACGAUAUGCAGGAGGGGUAGUUACAUACAUACAUGUAAUAUCAAUAUAGCCAGAAGAGUAGCAUUUUUUGCUAUGGAAUCUUAUCAUAAUACUUUACUCGUAAGAAUUCAGAAUUUUCAUUAUUCAAUUUAAAGCUCUUAAUGAUUGAAUGCCGCCUCCAUGACCAUCAGCGGCUAUUGUUCUUGUCAUCAUCAGCCCCAACCAACACUAACAUCUUCUUUCCCUUUCUUCAUAUCAACGAUGAUUCCCCGUACUCAAGUUCUGUAUCCCUAUUCAGCCUCCGAUUGGUCAGAAUGGGUUUUUGAAUUCUCGUCCCAGCAAAGAAGACACCAAAUACUCUACAAGUACUCUAGUUCACGUUGUUAACACACCCACUGGAUGUAGUGAAUGGGUCAUAGCCCAGCUUUGCGCUGGGAUCGGGGCUCAGGAAAGUCCCGGGGCCGUGAUCUUCAGAGACGCAGCCUCGAAGACGAGGAGAGACUUUGAGAGCCGGAGUUCCAUUGCGCCCCGACGGUGCGCGUUGAGGCUGAGACGCGUGCGGAGCCUCCGUGAAUCGUACCUCGAAAGGCCGACGGGCACUGAAUCACUUAUAAAAAUAUAAUCUGAACUGUGAAAUUGUCAGAAUGGACCUUAGAGAAGGAGGAAUCACAAAAAUAGGUGAUUUCUGAUCAUCGGAUAUGGUGCUAGGCUCGGCCCCGUACUUCUCUGCCCAUUUUAUUUUGUGCAGUGGAUAAAGAAGAGGGAAAUUAUUUAAUUAAUUCGGAUACUAUUUUUUUUUUUUUUUGGUGAAGGUAAUUCGGAUACUAAUUCCAUUCCAAAAUUUUCAAUUUGACCCGUUUAAUCCUAAAUCUUUUCACGCGAACUUCUCUAUGUGUGGACAGAUGCGCACUUGGUUUUUCUUUAUUUCUUUUUUUGAGAUGUUGCAUGUUGCAUUAGAGGACUGCUGGCCACACUUAUUUUUCUUUUCCACUUUAUAAGUCCUCAUAAAUUAAGACAAGCAGCUGGCGCAAGUUUUUACAAGCGUAGGAGAUAAGCUGUGACAUCAGAAAUGAUCUCAUCAAUAUUUGAGGGAGGGUAAAGACCAAUCCACUUGGGAAAAAGGAAACACUGGAAAUGUUACUUCAAUGAGAAGAGACGGGAAAUCAGUACCUUCUGGUUGUGCUUGUUUUUGCAGGCAAACUGUAUCGAUUCUACUGUUCCAGCCGAGAUAGUAUUUUCCCAGGAAGUGAAGAAGCUGCAGGCAGAGCAGUUCAAGCCUUCUGAGCAAGUUACUCUCGAGGCCUUUGAGCGAGACCAUGCUUGUUGUCGGUGGCUAUAGCAUGCCAAAGAAACAGAAAGCUGCUCCUGCAUCAUAAAAAGUCCCACGCCACCUUUGCUGUUCAAUCUUCAUGUUGGGGAUGACUGAUCCCCGAAAUACGGAUUCGACACCGAAUCGAACCCCUAAAUCAAUGCGGAAGACGAAGCCCAAGAAAACGACACGUAUCACCGAUCGUAAAGCACACCACGGAUUCGAGCGUACCUUGAUUGCCACAGAUUAGACACCAACGUUGAUGGAAGAAGAGAAACCGAGCAAUUCGAUCCGAUGAAGCCUUGAAGGGAGGAAGAACAAGCCGUAUGCGUUACUGUUCUUUCUUUUUCCUUUUGAGAGAGAGAGAGAGCGCAAGGAGAAAACGUACGUACGUAAUGUCCAACCUAUGCCAUCUCUCUCUCUCUCCUCCCUUUUAUACCUUCCCCUUCCACGGGCCGUAUUCCCGUGGGCCGGGCUUUCUGGGCCCAACUUGGGCGGACGGGCCUUAAGCCCAAUACCAAUAAAAGCCUUCAUCUCCCACUCGCACAAGGUGGGCCGAACAUGAUUCUCUUUACCUCUCUUCAACAUUCAUACCGGUGAAUAAUCCGUGCGACCAGCAUACUUUGAGAGCUCGUUGCCAUACAUCUGUUAGGAAUAUAUAGCAGCUCAUAAUGGGCAUCACACUCCGAGUAGAUUUAGUAUGCAGUACCCUAGAUCGAUCGAUCACAUUUAUAUCUCUCUUGAUCUCUUUCAAACAAUGAUAUAUAUAUUGUAUUCACAAUUAUGAUUAUCACAAAGACAGUCAUAAUUGGUUAACCGGUGAAUACAAAACCAUAAUGUGAUUCUCCAAAAUCGAUCUUCCUCUUUCCUUCAAACUCUCAAUUUCAGUCCAGCUUGCUUUUCUAGAAAUGCCCCAUUAGAUCGAAUCAAACACAUGACCAUUGGCAACAUCCUAAGAUAGCAAACACUAAAUAGAAAUCUUGAGAAUAAGUAAGAGUCAUGAGGGGACUAAGAAAUUUGAGGAACUCUCUUCCUCAAGAGUCUCACACGACAUAAAAGUUGAGAUCAAACUUUUGCCACUCUUAUUGGUCGUCUCAUGCAUACGUAGUAUGAAAUACAUAUUACGGUAUUAACUCCUUUCCCAUGGAGCGUAUGUCUACACCUUUCAAUACCGUACAGAUGAUAGUUCAGACAUACCCAAUGUCUAACUUGAGUUCACGUAUCUACUCAUUCACUAAAUUCAUCAGAACUCACAUCUGGCAUCAUAGACAGAUAAAGUAAAAUAUGUGGGGUAUUUUACUUUCGGACAUAGUAAGUAUUAUGUCCUCAUCUUAACACCUAGUUAAGGCGACAUACGUGUUUUAAGCUUGAGCUCUCAAUUAUCACCUAGAUAAUAAGCUUAAAAACAGUCUCAUCUCUAUUUAUCACACAGUAAAUAGAGGCGAUUACCCGUGUGAGCGGGCUAAUCUCAUCUGUCCGACAUACUUCUUCUAACUUAAAGUAAUGCACUGAGUAUUAAGAUGCAUAAAGAUCAAACGAAGAUUCAUAGGCAUUAAUGAUGAAAAACAUAAAUUCAUCAUAUGUGAACACUUAGGGAAAAUACAAUAUUCAGUACAUCAGCCUCUACGCAAUCCUAGAGAUUUCACAUGGCCACAAAACACAUCUCUAGGUAUUGGCUUUGUCAUAGGAUCUGCUACCAUUCUAUGCGUAGUAUGUACUCUAAGUUCACAUCUUUUCGUGCAAUCAUAUCCAUGGCAAAAUUAUACUUAGUAUCUAUAUGUUUGGUCUUGCCAUGAUAUUUGGAUCUUUAGUGUACACUUUUGCUGCUUGAUUAUCAUAGUUAACUAAUAACAAAUCUGCAGCACUUCCAAUAACACCUAAAUGAUCCAAUAAUCUCUUAAGUCAAACAUCUUCUUAUACUGCUGCUGAUAAUACCACGAACUCAAUUCCAUCGUGGACAAGGCUAUAUACUUUUGUUUCUUACUGCUCCAACACAUGGUGCCAUUAUUCGGUAAGAGAACAAACCUAGAGGUAGAUUUCCUUUCAUUUAAAUCUCCUCCCCAAUCAACAUCAGAAUAGCCUUAGAGUCGCAGAUCCUUUCCAUAAUAACUCAACAUAUAAUCAGCAGUCCACUUUAGAUACCUCAGUAUUCACUUAACGGCUUUCCAACGUGCUUGACCUGGAUUGGAUUAGUAUCUACUCACCAUUCCAACUGCAAAAACAUAUGUCAGGUCUUGUACACAUCAUAGCGUACAACAAGCUUCUAACAGCACUAGCAUAAGGAACAUGUUUCAUUUGUUCCUUCUCUUGUGGAGUCCUUGGACACAGUCUAUGGCUCAAUCCUUCACCUUUUGCAAUAGGAGCGUCAAUGGGUUUACAAUCCCAUAUCAUUCAAUUCAAAAUUUGGAAGACAACCAACUUUUGACAGUAUUGACUAGCUCCAUAUUGCUUCCAGCAAUUAGUAUAUCAUCAACAUAUAAUGAUAUGAUCACAAAUUGAUCCUUGGAUCUUUUGAUAUAUACACAAUGAUCCUCAUCUAUCAUUGUAAAGUCAUAUACCAUUAUGGCAUUAUGAAAACGUAUAUAUCAUUGUCUUGACGACUGCUUAAGGCCAUAUAUCGACCCCCAAAGUCGACAUACCUUUUCUUCUUGGCCUUUCACUAUGAAAUCAACAGGUUGUUCCAUAUAUAUUUCAUCCUCUAAUUUUCCAUUGAGGAAAGCAUUCUUUACAUCCAUUUGAUGUGACUCAAGAUCCAUACUAAACACUAUUGCCAGAACUAUGCGAAUCAAGGCAAAUCUUACUACAGGAGAAAAAAUAUCUUCAUAAUCAAUUCCUUCCUGUUGAUUAUACCCCUUCGCCACAAGGCGAGCCUUAUGCUUUUCAAUCGAGCCAUCAGUCUUUCGCUUUACUUUGAGAACCCAUUUGUUCCCAAUAGCUCUGCGUCCUUUUGGCAGAUCAACCAGUUCCCAGACUUGGUUUGAUUUCAUUGACUCCAUUUCCUCUUCCAUUGCAUUAAUCCAUUUUUCCUUACUAGGGCAAUUCAGAGCCUCUUUAAUAUUUCUUGGCUCAUACUCAUCUUGUGGAGCAACCAUAAAAGUUCCNNNNNNNNNNNNNNNNNNNNNNNNNNNNNNNNNNNNNNNNNNNNNNNNNNNNNNNNNNNNNNNNNNNNNNNNNNNNNNNNNNNNNNNNNNNNNNNNNNNNCGGUGGCCUCGACUGACGAGCGGAAGACGCCGCCGCCACCACCGACGAAGGAGGAGCAGCAGCCGGGAGAGCCGACGACGGUAUGGCAGCACGUGGUGCAGAAGGGGGCGGAGCUGACACAGUCUCUGGCGCCGGCGAAGCAGUUGAAGCAGCACGCGUGCAGGUUCGCCCUGUACAGCCACGACGCGCGCUGCCAGAUCGCAGCUCAACCAGGACUUCCUCCGGUGCAUCGUCUACGACGGCGACGACCACCACGCCUGCCUCAUCGGUAAUAAUCCCAAACUCUCUUCCUGCAAUAUGAUUAGUCGGGUUCAAUCUAUACUCCCUUAAAAAGAGAUUAUUGACACUAUUGACGAGGAAUUUUCUCAUGUGAAAUUGGUAAGAGCGUCACAUUCAUUUGUAUUGAUAGGAUAAUGAUGCUUUGGUGAUUAAUUAAGGGCGGUUUUCUAUUACUAGAAAGUUAUCUCCAUCAUAUUUUAGAUCAAUGACAUUCUCUCUCCUCUUUCUCUCUCAAUGAAGGAUAGAAAAUCGAAUCUAUUUAGAUUUCAUAUGUUUCGUGAAAAAUGAAUGAUUUAGAAAAUAUUAUUAUGAAACUGAUAGUUUUUAUCAUUUGAAAUAAUUAACUAAUAAAAAUUAUUUUCAUCGAUAGUAAUUUAUGUUUGAACAUUUUCGUAGGCAUUUAUAUAUUUUUCAUUUAUUUAUUUUUAAAAGAAUAAAGAAAUUAUUUUCCUAGACGACAUUGAAUUGCUUAGGAACAACAUAUAAUAAUUGUAUCACACUACUAUAUGACAAUGUACAUGCUUAGAUAGAGUGUGCCACGUAAGUGCCCUGGCAAUCAAUGUUUUGACUGGCUUAGGUUCUAUUUUUUAGGUCAAUUGAUUCAACCGUCGCAUUGCAGAAAUCGAAACAUUUGUGAAAGAAUCAAUAAUAUAUUAAGUUUGCUUAUUAGCACCAAAGUGAGUGCUCACUCACGGGGAUGAGAUCUUCCUUUUGUGAGAGGACAAGGAAGUUUUCUCACCUGACUCAGCUCUUUAAAAUUUUUCACGGAGUCAAUUAUUUGGUUAAAGAUCCGGUCCAACCUGUGGCCAGGUCACUGGCUAAAUUUGGUUCGAGCAGUUCUUGACCAAUCCAGGUGAACAAGAAAAACCAGACCGGACCAUGAUCCGGUUCCCAGUGCAAGUGGCCGAACCAGCCUAUUCGGUUUCGAUGUGAAAACACAGAAUAUAAUUGCUUGUCCACAGGAUGAGUGAAUAAUUGCAAUUGGUAAUUUUCUGCUAUUUAUUUUGAUUCUCAUCUUGUUCAGCGAAGUAGAGGGAAUUAAGUGAUAGAGAAGCUACCAUGGAGCUAUCAUCAGCCAAUGGCCUUGAGAGGAAGCCAUUUGGACAUUAGUAAAACGCAAUAAGGUGGUAAGAGCAGGUGAUCCAACCCUUUCUGGCCAGUCUCCUCCAGAAACUUCAUUUGUCAAUGGCUGCACCCGUGCUUAAAUAGGCAGCUGAUCCGCUCCUCCUAUAACCGAACACCCGGCAAUCGCCGAACCCUACUUUUUGACUGGACUCUUCAUUCCACGAACAGUCUCCAUCUUCAGGAGCUUUCAUGAUGCAUUUCGUUGGGCCAGCUUCAUGUCGUAUCCUUGAUCCUCACUAUAUCGUCUGUCUCCUUCCAGUCUCUGUGGCGAAAUUAGGUCUUACCCUAGACCAUGCCCCAGACGACAGCCACUACUCGAUCCCCCUGGCAGAACAUAGGACUCCAAAACCCUCACGGAGAACUAGAUGUCACGAAAUUAAUUUUCUUGGUUGGAUGCGUCCAUCCCGACAUUCCCAUUGGUCGAUGAGUCUCCGUUGGGAAGUCGAAGGCGAUGCUCUUGUCACCUCAUUGAAUGGCCAUCGCUCCUAUUGAUCACCUGCGCUGCUACUGCUGGAUGGCUUGGUGUGGCUAGCCAGUUACCCUUUGACUUCAAGAGUUUUGGAUUUGAAAAAAGUUCAGUGUGAGCCGUAAGAUUUUAUAUUUCGACUUGAAGAAAAGAAAAGUAGGAAAACACAUCCUAAUGAGGAGAAUUACUAUGGCUAAAGCUUUCGACUGAUCAAAUAAAAGGAAUGAUCAGUCUGAUCUUACUGAAUGCGUCAUGUUUGGGAAAUUCCUGGGCAGGAGUGGAGUACAUUAUAUCUGAAAGGGUAUUCAAAAUCUACCGUCAGAGAAGCAAAAGCUCUGGCAUUCUCAUGCCUACAAGGUUUCCUCUUCCCUUCUCUCUCUCUCUCUCUCUCUCUCUCUCUCAGGGUUUUCUUUUAAUGCUUUCUCGAUCAACAUUGGUGUGAAUUUUGCCGUCGAUAUAACUUCGAAACAAGCUGAGUGGUACAGAUAAAAUCAGGCCUCUGUAUUCAUCCUCAAGUCCCCGAUUUUGUGGAGGAAGUAAAACUCAGGAAGUUGGCCAAGACUCAUGGAAAGUUCUGAUGCACAUGGCAGGUCGAUCAAGGUACGUAGAUCUGGUCAUUAACAUAUGUUUCACCGGAUUUGGUUCCCGAGCUGGCGCACGUUCUAAGCUGAGUGAAUUUGCUCUUUCUGAUUAACUGGUGGGAACUUCGUUUCGGCUUUGUUUUGGUUUAUGUGAUAUGUUUGAAGGCGAUAAGCUUCCGAUUGGUGCGCCUGCGCUGAUGACGUCGCCUCAGUCAUCAGGCUGGGGCUUAUUGAAGCCGGAUGUGGUGAUGAAGAGGGACGACUGAUACGGCAUCAGAACCGACCAGCUGAAGGCGACGAGGGAGGACAUCAAAGAGCCCGAGCGGCACCAUCCUUGUGCUGAUCACUGGACACGAAAUGGGAUGGGCUUCGUUGUCGACGUCGUGUAUGCUGAUAUAAAACGGGUCGUGCCUUUCCCCUGAAUGAGCUGAGCAUGCAGCUGUGGGCUGCGACUGCAACGUAAAUCUUUGUAGCCUCACGUUGAUUUUGUGCACAGUAGGGUAUGGAAGUGCUCCUAAGACAGGUAUGAAGCUAUCAUUUCUCUCUCUGAAUUUUAAUAAAUUCACUCCAUGCGAUUCCAUUGUUAGGUGCAUCGCUUGUGUCCACAUCAGCUUUUCAUCAACUAAUGCUGUUAAAUUAGUAAUGGAAGUAAUGUAUUGAAUGAAUUUAUUAAAAUUCAGUGUCUAAUUGAAAUAAAGGUUCAAAUCCGAAAUUGAUCAUUAGAAAUAGACAAAAGCUAAUCCCGAACCAACCAUCCAAACCCUCCCUCGCCACCGGCCAUCGCACUUGUCACCUCAAAUUGUGUCGCCGACAUGGACAGUCAUAACGUCCUGCGGUGUUGCUUCCACGGGCGGGUGACGGUUGAAGCUCUAGCGGUCAUGGCCAGUUGCUGAUGAUUUGACAGCCUUAAGCAUGAGUUCGAAACUCGAGUAGCGAGAGUAAUAAUCUAGAAAAAAAGAUUUGAAAGGACAAUCUACAUCAUAUUGAAUUCACGUAAGCAGAAUCCAUCACCAAUGGACGAAUCGUCAAACCUUUCUAAAAGUAAUGGGUCGAUUAAAAAAAAUGAUAAAUAUAUUAAAAAUCCUAAAAUUUACUACGAAAAUAAAAUUGAGUGGUAAAUUUUUUUAAAAGUAUAAUCAUGUUCUAAAACUUAUUAAGAUUGUGUAAUUGAGUAUUAAAAUUUUCAAAAGGUACAAUCAAGUUUAUAAUUUGUUAAAUUGAUAUAAUCAAAUCUUAAAAUUAAUCAAGUUGGUACAAUCAAGUAUUAACUUGUCAUAUCUUUCAAUUUUUAAGUUGGACAGAGUUAAUAAAAAGAUUUGAUUGCAUCAACUUAACAAAUUUUUGAACUUGACUGAACAUUUUAAAAAUUUUAGGAUUUAUAAUUCGUUUGUUUCGCAAAAAAUAUAAUAUUUCUAAGGAGUCAUUUUGCACCGAAAUAAUUUUUUUCUCAUAUUUGGCUGAAACCUAAAAGUGACAUGAAAAUAUUUUAUGUCAUUUGAUAAUAGAAUUAUUAAAAAAAAUCAUUUUUUGAAAUUAUUUUAAAUUUUUAUAUAUUCUUUUCUUUUCCUCUUCUUUUUCCUUGACCAGUCGCCGUUAUUGUGAUGGUUGGCGACCAGUCACAAGCAAGCUCAAGGCCAACAAGCUCGAGUCUCACUAAUCAAGCGAGCUUUGAGAGAGCUGGCCACAAACCGAGGUCUUAAGCCUCACUGGCCGUGGUGAGCUCAAAGCUUUUCUGUGGUCACUAGCUAUUACUUGUGGUUGGUGACCGGUCAAGGAACAAGAAAAGAAAAGAAUAUAUAAAAAUUUUAAAAAAUUAAAAUAAUUUUAAAAAAAAAUUUGAAAAUAAAAAAUGAAAAUUUAUAUUUUUAAAAUAUUUUUUGUAAAAAUAAAUAUUUUGUGAGAUUUUGUGAAACCACUACCAACUAUUCUAAAUACUUAAGUUGUUGAUAAAGUUGUUGUUAAUAUUUAAUUACUCUAAUACUCCUCACACCCUUAUACAUGCAUAAGCUCGGGAGACAACCAAUUGUUUUAAAAUGUUAAUAUGUUAGACAAAUGCGUGGUUUAAUAUUUAAUUCCUCUAACACUCCCCCUGACGCUUAGUUUGAUUUUUUGUCUAGCACUAAGUGUGGAAAUUUAAUUGGAGAGGAAAAUGAGAUUAGACUCAGACCUUCAACUCUAAUACCAUGUGAGAUUUUGUGGGAUUAUUGUCAAUUAUUAUAAAAAUUUAAGCUAUUAGGCAAAUGUGUAAUUUAAUAUUUAAUUACUCUAACGCUCCCCCUCAUGCAGACACUAGACUUUAACCUAAGCCUAAAGCAAGGAAAUAUAUAAUUGGGGAUGGCCUUCGUCUAACAUGUUUCAUUGACCAAAGAACCAUAUCCAAGCGCCAAGGACCUUUGCAAAGCCUUUGUGGACCUAGGCAGGACCAGAGCUCAAGCUGAGCUCGAGCCUAAGCUCAAGCUUAGGGACAUGAGAAAGGGCUUUCAUGGACUCAAUUUUAGGUGUCAAAGCAUUUGGUACAAGCAUUAGGGGUUCAGGGACAACCUUCAUGAACCCAAGUAUAGGUACCGGGGGCCUAAGGCCACCAGGACCUGCAAACUAACAUUGGGAUCCUUGGCUCAAGUGUAAGGUUUACGGUCCAAACGUCGAUAUCUAAUCAUAUUUUAAAAAACGUUUUCCAUUUUCUUUUAGAAAAAAGUAUUUUCUUGAAUCUAAAUUUUGGAGGUAAAGUAUUUUCUAUCGACUCAUUUUCAAAGCAAACCAAACUCCAUGAAACGAAGAAAGAUAUUUUUUCACGAAACAAACGGAAACUUAAUUCCGCUUUCAUGUAAAGUUUUAGCAUUUCUAAUGUAUUUAUCAAUUACACUUCCCACGUGCAAUGCCAAUCAAAGCUCCCCCGGGAUGCCCUGCGCAUCUCCCGCCUGUUCACUCCCCCCCGAUUCCAGCAUAUGCUCUUCUGCUUCUCCGACCUCAUCCAUGGCCCACUCACCAUUCCCUCCCUUCCUCUUCGGCCCCGUCCCUGCGUAACAACACCGUCGAGAAUCCUGCCCCCUUCGUCUCCUCCUCGUCGCCGCCUGCUCUGCGUUCCUGGGUCCCGCCGGCAGCCCCCCGCCGCCGCCGCCGCCACCUCUGCUGCCAUGGAAGCCCCGCCCAAGUUCGCGUACUCCGUGUGGGCGCUGCCCCCCGACAACCUGGCCCCGAGGCUGAGGGGCCUGAUGGACGGCCUCCGGUCGGAGUUCGGGGGGCCCCGGUUCGAGCCCCACGUCACCGUCGUCGGAGCCAUCGCCCUGACGGAGGAGGACGCCGUCGGCAAGUUCAGAGCGGCUUGCGAGGGGCUCCGGGCGUACACCGCCGCCGUGGAUCGCGUGGCCACGGGGACUUUCUUCUACCAGUGCGUGUACUUGCUCCUCCGUCCCACGGCUGAGGUAAUUUUUUGGGCACGUGUUUCGGGUCCCAAAUGGCCUGUUCUGGGUGCCCCGUCGUUCGCUUUGAUUGCCACGCGAGGUGUUUGCUUUGAUGCCCCAAUGGGAAUGUUGAUUCUUUCAUGGGGGAACUUCAUUUGCUUUUGGAAUGCUGCUCUGGGUUUGAUUGACAUUUUUAAUUGACGUGCUUCGCUUACAGCAAUUGACAUUUUUAAGGCUAAUUUGAGCGUUGAUCAUAUUCGUCAGUAAAGAAACUAUAAUGCUUGCUAGUUUUGUUUUAUCAAUCUGAUCAGCGACCUUUUCUUGCUUGUUUGAUCGCAUAUUUGGUCCAUCAUCCAUUCAAGAAAAGACGGCUCAUUUGCUUCUUUUUGUUUUAUUUCCGUUUUCUUUGGGCUGUGGGAGAGAUUGGAGGGUGCACUUUCAAUUUGGGUUUCAGAGAUUGGCUGCUUCUGAUGCUACUUGACCAUGGAUUGUUGGAUAUGCACUUUGUUUCCUUUUCUUCAUCCUUUGCCUGAGUGAAGAGUUAUGGAGUUGUAGUCUUGAUCGAUAAUAAUAAAUAUUCUUAAUCUAAGCUUUGAGUCAAGUAAGAAUACAAUAUGCUUCUUCAACAGAUUUACAAUUAAUGCAAUGUCAAAGUUCUACAAGAAAUCACAAGGUACGUUUCGACUAAUCACUAAUGAGAUGCCUGAAAUCUUCAGAUUUUGACAACUACCUUCUACUAACAGAAGUCAUACCCAUCAUCAGUUGAUCCAACUUAAAAGCUUUAACCAUAAAAACAAUUGAUCCAAAGUAUAAGCAUGGCAGCAAAGCUUUUCGGACUAAGUUCAGACAAGGCACAAUUUGUCAAUUUAGAGAGUUCGACAGGGUACAUGUUAAUUGUGGUAUUUCAUUGUUUGGGAUGCACAUUGUGAAUUUCUUUUUGCUUUUUCUUUAGGACAUUGAAGAUAGGCAUUGAACCCACUGUUGAGAGCAUAUUUGUGCUCUGGAUCCACUUGUGUUCAGAAUGGGCCUAUUUGCAUGUCAACAAUGUGUUUGGCCUGUCUAUAUCUUUUCUUCAUUGUAGUUUUGUGUGCUGUCACUUGUUUCGUGUCUCAUUCCGUGUCAGAUUUGUAUGAUAUUGGAUUCUGUUGGCAUUAGUUUGCAUUUCACAUGCUUGCAGAGAAUUUCCUCCUGGUUGGAAUGAAUCAAGACUGUUAAGAAGCCCAAUCGCACAAUUGCAAGAACAUGUAGCAUUUUCUUGAAUGAAAUGUUUUAGAAACCUGCGCAAAUUUUGUUCUUUGGGUUUAGCGGGAUAAUUAAUUCACUCAUUUUGUUCUUCCAGGUUGUUGAAACCAGUGAUCACUGCUCUACUCAUUUAGGUUAUGAGAGGCCAACACGUAAGUUCUGGACAUUACUGCUGUAGUUCUAGUCUAUCCAUGGGUUGUGUGGUUGUACGCUGAAAUAGUUUCUUUAGUCUAUAUUAAAAGAAACAACUGCUGUCCAGGAUUUGGCUUAACCAUGGGAGAUCUUUACUUUGUUUAAUAUUUGUCGGAAGGUGUAGUUGGUAUCUUUGUUUCAAAUGUCACUGCAUGUAGCCAAACAUUGGCACGAGUUCUGUCCAUUUGUUAGAUAGUCAUUGAUACGAUCUCCAAAGAGUAAUGUUAAAAUUUAAUUUUGUGAUGACAGAAUGAGUGAUUUACUUUCUGUUUUAGUGAAAUGAAAAGUAAAAACCACUGAGCUUCCAUUUACUAAGUUAGAAUCAGCAAUAGAAUGAGGCAAGCUGACAGUACUCUGAUGGAGAUGAUAAUCUAUUGUCACCAAUUACAUUAUUGUAUAGUUUGGGAUUACUGAGCUGUUGGCCAUUUCUACCUGACGGUAGACCCUCAUCUUAAGGCGAAAAUAAAAGAAGCCCAUGAGAGUUUUGAAAAGAUGCUCUGUUCCCUCAACCUUCUUUUUUCUUUUUGCUAGAAUUGGUGUCAAAUUUAAGACCUUCAUGGGCUUUAAGUGAGGAUUAAGUUAGAUAUAAGUAUCACUGAAUUCAUGGGAAGGAUCUUAUGGCUGUAAUUCUUAAAGUUGCAUGGGCUCAUUUGAAGCGUGUUGCAUCAUUUGCUGAGGGAAGGCAGAAAUGCUGAAUUCUCGAAUUCUCGAUGAAUUAUAUUGAUGUCUCCGGAAGGGAAUCCCGUACAUAUGAAGAGCAAACCCGUUUAUCUCAAUUGAGUCUUUACUUUCUUUGCCUUUUUUUUCCAGUGCUAUGCUGUGCUGAAUGUGCAAACAAAUACAUUUGUGUCCAUGCAACUUAUUUGGAGUUUUGUUGCUUUCAUUUAUUUGCUGUAAAUCUAAGUACGGGUUUCCUGGGGAAUGAGUGUACAGUGCAACGGUUAGUAUAGUCCUGGUACUAUCAUCAGGCUUUGCUAAGUUGCAUUAGCUAGUGUUUUCUCCUCAUAAACCUGUUCAAAGUGAUUCAGCAAAAUGAGUAUUCUCUGGACACGCCUUUUGUCUUCAUUUUUUCCCUUCGAUCUUUUUUCUCAAUAUCAAUUGGCAUUGUAACUUUUGUUAUUCUAUUCAUUUUGAUGUGGGGACGAGGUCCCGUGUUGUUGAUCGUUAACACAUGCUACUGAUAAAUGGAAAUAAUUGACGGAGGUGGACUUUUUUUUGUUUGUGAAAGCACUCACGUGUUGCUUCUAUUGGUUGAUGUUGUAGCUUACAUGCCACAUCUGAGCCUCCUUUAUGGAGACCUGACAGAUGAAGAGAAGAAGAAAGCUCAGGAAAAAGCCAAUGAACUCGAUGGGAGCUUAAAUGGCCUCAGCUUCUUGAUCUCUCGCCUCGCACUGUACAAAACCGACACGGAAGAUAAAACUUGUCAAUCGUGGGAAAAGAUAGCAGAGUGCAACCUCAAUACAAGUUAGAUUCUGCUUGUAACCAGUAUACCUUUCCUUAUGUUCUCAACAGUCUGAAAAACUCGUGUUCUCUACUUUGUCAUCUGGUGUUGGGAACUUGACUAUUCUGCGGGCAUGUGCAUCCAGUGUCCUUGUACAUUUGUGGAUUGCUCACUUUCAAUCUAUUUUCCCUAAAAAUUCAGCUAAUUGUUUGCGGGAAGUAAUGAGAGGUGAUGAAUUUUUCAAGCCAAGGAAAAAACAAGUGCACGAGAUUCCGGAAAGUGAUGAGAUUACUUAGGGGUUGUUUGGUAACCAUCCAAACAGUAUCCGAUUCUGAUUUUUUUGUUCCCAGAAUGAAAUUUGGAACAAAAUCAAGAAUAAAAAAAAAAAGAAGAAGUUGAUUCUUAUUCUUAGAAACAAAUCUAAGAAUCAAGAUCAUAUUUCUCUUUUUUUUUUUUUUCCUCUUUUCCCUUCUUCUUCUUCUCUUUUCUUUUUCUUCAUCUACCGCCAUCCCGGGGUUGCCGUUUGUCGCCGUCCGCUGUCCACCACCCACCGCCGUUGAUCGCUGGCAACCAGUCCGGUGAGCUCGCUGGAGGCAAGCCUAGUCAUUGGCGAGACUCGACUUCGCCAGCGAGUCUCGCCAGUGGCCAGGCGGGCCUCGUCUAGCCCCAACGAGGCUGACCUGACCAUCGACAAGGCUCGGUCGACGAGGUCCAACUCCGUCAAGAGCCAGCGAUGCUUCGGUGAGGUCGCCGACGAGCCACUUGAAGAAGAAGAAGAAGAAAAAGGAGAGAAAGGAAAAAAAGUAAAAAUAUAUAUAUAUAUAUAUAUAUAUAUAUAUAUAUAUAUAAAUAAAAAUAUAUUUAUUUAUCAUAAAGUCAUAGGCACGGUACCAAACACAAUUCUAUUUCAGAAUUAGAAAUUUUAGAUAGUUAUCAAACGACUUAAAAUAUUUAAAAAUUAUUUUUGAGAACAAAAUAAAAAAUAAAAAAAUCAUUUAUGAUCAGAAUUUGUUUUCGGGAAUUGAAUCGUUAUCAAACACACUCUUAAUUGCUUUUGUCAGGCUCUCCUCUCACUUCAUUGACACCAGCCCUCAUUCUCUAUUUUCUCAACUGCUAGACUUUCUUUCAACAGCUCCUGUUUUGACCUCAGAUUAGGUGACUCAAUAAUUUUCGAAACAGUCUUGGCACAAGGAAGGGUACCAUUCCUUUGAUUCCUAAGCACCUCUCGUACGUAUUCGUCUACUCCAACCUGCUUCAGAAGUAGAAGUUCCUGCAAACAGUACAAGACUGACAAAAAAAAAAAAACAUAUAUAAAGAGAACACUUACUAACUUUCACUUUCAGAAUUUUGUCCUAUCUGAUUGAAAGUUGAAAUUCACAUUUUCUAUCUUUUUUUUUAACUCUACUCAGAAUGUGAAGUCGGUCCUGAGCAGGACCUUAAAAGGCUCUGACAUCUCGGAAAGACGAGAUAGUCCCCGGAUCCGGGGGACGAAAAAGAUUCCGGCCCCACUGCCCCGCCCGCCACAACCCUGGAACCCGGAAGGGUGAAGGGGAGGGAGGGCACAUGGUGAGGGUAGAACGGCAACCCUCCCGGUAGCCGAGUAGGCCCGGGAAGGGACCUAGUAGCCCAAUGACCCAUGCCGGGGAGGAAACUCCCCGGGUGGCGGCGAAAGUUGAAAUUCACAUUUUCUAUCUUUUUUAACUCUACUCAGAAUGUGAAGGAUGGCAACUGGUACCCACUUGUUUAUAUAUAUAUAUAUACUUUUUUUUUUUAGCAAAUAUAUAUAUUUAUACUUCACAAGCAAGGAAAAGUUUCCAACAUUUCUCGUACCCGUCACCCAAUCGCGAAUUGCCUUCACGGGAAUCGAACGAAUCGGGCGGCGUUACUCCACUACCUCCGAACUCGUCAACAACUCAUCAAUGCUCGCAACCUAGGUAGCACCGACAUGCGACACGGACACGCGACACGACACGACAUGACACGUCGACACGUCAUUUAUUAAAAAUAGAGAAUUCCGACACGUUCCGACACGUUAUAUAUUAAAUAAAUAUUUUUAUUUUUAAUUAAUUUAAUUCAAAUUCAUAAAUAAAUAAAUAAAUAACUUACAAUAAAUUUACACUAAUAAUAUUAAUAUCUAGUACUUUUAUUUUUCAAAAUAACUUUUUAACCCAUUGAUUUAUUUAUUUUUUAGCAUUACCAUGUGUUAAUAAAAUUAUUUAACGUUUACUAUUUUUUUUAGAGCUAAAUGAAUCCCACCCAUUUAUUUCAGCUUCCCUUUUCUUCCCCCACCCCACCCACCGCCUGCGCCUCUGUCACUUCCCAAAUCACGCUGCACGAGGUACGUUGCACAGGCUUUCUUUCUUCCCAAAAAGCCAGAAGCCGUCGACGCGUCUCUCUCCUUGCUCUUCUUCCUAAAACAAAAACCCUAGCAAUCGCUUUCUUUCUCCUCUCCCUUGCUCGGUCUCCACCUCUCUUGCUGCUGCCUCGCCUCCGUUGCGCCCUUUGCCAUCCUAGCCUCGCGUCCAGCCCUCCAUCGCGGUGUUGCUGUUUUCCAUCUAGGCGUUGCAGUCGGCGGUCGCAGCCCUCCCUCGCCGUCGCUCGCAGUGUCGCCUCGGCUCUCUCACCGUCGCUUGCAGCAUUGCCUCGGCUCCCUCACCCUUGCCUCCGCCCUCCAUCACCUUCUUCCCUUCCCACCUGCAGAUCCGCCCACAAACCUCCGGACACGCUCCGACGCGCGUGUCGGAAAGAGUUGACCACGUGUCGAAAACUCCGACACGUGUUGACCGCGUGUCCGAGCGUGUCCGGCCGUGUCCGAGCGUGUCCGACACGACACGGAGGCCCUCCGAACGUGUCCGUGCUUCCUUGCUCGCAACGCACGCCUCCUUCUUUCCCUUUCUUAAAUCUCGCCCCCGGCGCCGCAACCCCGCUAAAAGGCAACCCUUUCGUCGUCCCCUUCCCCUCCCCGUCGCUGACCUCCCUGCAUUCUCGGUCUCGCCGGCAGCUCGCCUCCCCCCUACUCCGCUUCUUCCAUGGAAAGCCCGCCCAAGGUGGCGUACUGCGUGUUUGCUCUCCCCCCAGACGACCUGGCUCCGAGGCUGAAGAGCCUCAUGGACAGUCUCCGGUCGGAGUUUGGCGGGCCGCAGUUCGUGCCCCACAUCACGGUCGUCGGGCCUGUUGGCCUGAAGGAGGAUGAUGCCGUGAGAGAGUUCAGGGCCGCUUGCG
rnacentral:lncRNA from 1 species